UACGAAGGGGCUAGCGUUGCUCGGAAUCACUGGGCGUAAAGCGCACGUAGGCGGACUCUUAAGUCGGUGGUGAAAUCCUGGAGCUCAACUCCAGAACUGCCUUCGAUACUGGGAGUCUCGAGUCCGGGAGAGGUGAGUGGAACUGCGAGUGUAGAGGUGAAAUUCGUAGAUAUUCGCAAGAACACCAGUGGCGAAGGCGGCUCACUGGCCCGGUACUGACGCUGGAGGUGACGAAAGCGUGGGGAGCAAACAGG
rnacentral:rRNA from 1 species